CAUAUAGGCUGUGAAAAAU
rnacentral:snRNA from 1 species